GAUGAACGCUGGCGGCGUGCCUAAUACAUGCAAGUCGAGCGAACAGACGAGGAGCUUGCUCCUCUGACGUUAGCGGCGGACGGGUGAGUAACACGUGGAUAACCUACCUAUAAGACUGGGAUAACUUCGGGAAACCGGAGCUAAUACCGGAUAAUAUAUUGAACCGCAUGGUUCAAUAGUGAAAGACGGUUUUGCUGUCACUUAUAGAUGGAUCCGCGCCGCAUUAGCUAGUUGGUAAGGUAACGGCUUACCAAGGCAACGAUGCGUAGCCGACCUGAGAGGGGGAUAGGCCACACUGGAACGGAGACACGGUCAAGACUCCUACGGGAGGCAGCAGUAGGGAAUCUUCCGCAAUGGGCGAAAGCCUGACGGAGCAACGCGGCGUGAGUGAUGAAGGUCUUCGGAUCGUAAAACUCUGUUAUUAGGGAAGAACAAAUGUGUAAGUAACUAUGCACGUCUUGACGGUACCUAAUCAGAAAGCCACGGCUAACUACGUG
rnacentral:rRNA from 1 species